CUGGGUGAUGCGGUGAAUUUCAAAAAAAUCCAGAAAAGUCCAACCUCUUUUUUUUUUCUUUAAAAUUUUAAAUUGUGAAAAAAAUAAAAACCCAUAUACAAUUGACUAUCUUUGUCAUUAUUUUUUUUAGGACAGUACUCAAUGAUCUGAUCUAAUCUUUUUUUUUUUUUUUUUUUUUUUUUUUUUUUUUUUUUUUUUUUUUUUUAGGAAGUUUCUAAAUUUUUUUUUUUAUUUUUUUUUUUUUUUUUUUUUUUUUUUGAGACAGUGUCUCACUCUGUUGCCCAGGCUAGAGUGCUGUGGUGUCAUCAUAGCUCACAGCAACCUCAAACUCCUGGGCUCAAGCGAUCCUUCUGCCUCAGCCUCCCAAGUAGCUUGGACUACAGGAGCUGGUUAUUUAAAGAGUGUGGCACUUCCCUCUCUCUCUUGCUCCUUCUCUGCCAUCUGACAUUCCUGCUCCCCAUUCACCUUCUGCCUUGAUUGGAAGCUUCCUGAAGCCCUCACCAGAAGCAGAUGCUGGCACCAUGCUUUUUGUACAGUCUGCAGAACCGUGAGCCAAAUAAA
rnacentral:lncRNA from 1 species